rnacentral:rRNA from 1 species
UGCAGUCGAGGGGCAGCAUCACUUCGGUGGAUGGCGACCGGCGCACGGGUGAGUAACGCGUACACAAUCUACCUCUAAGUCUGGGAUAGCCUUGGGAAACUGAGAAUAAUACCGGAUGUGAUCACAAUAUGGCAUCAUAUAGUGAUUAAAGAUUUAUUGCUUAGAGAUGAGUGUGCGUCCUAUUAGCUAGUUGGUAAGGUAACGGCUUACCAAGGCAAUGAUAGGUAGGGGGCGUGAGAGCGUGGACCCCCACACGGGUACUGAGACACGGACCCGACUCCUACGGGAGGCAGCAGUAAGGAAUAUUGGACAAUGGGCGAAAGCCUGAUCCAGCCAUUCCGCGUGUAGGAUGAAGGCCCUAUGGGUUGUAAACUACUUUUAUAUAGGAAGAAUAAUUUCGAUUUAUCGAGACUUGACGGUACUAUAAGAAUAAGCACCGGCUAACUCCGUGCCAGCAGCCGCGGUAAUACG